AACUUGAGAGUUUGAUCCUGGCUCAGAACGAACGCUGGCGGCAGGCUUAACACAUGCAAGUCGAGCGCCCCGCAAGGGGAGCGGCAGACGGGUGAGUAACGCGUGGGAAUCUACCCAUCUCUACGGAACAACUCCGGGAAACUGGAGCUAAUACCGUAUACGUCCUUUUGGAGAAAGAUUUAUCGGAGAUGGAUGAGCCCGCGUUGGAUUAGCUAGUUGGUGGGGUAAUGGCCUACCAAGGCGACGAUCCAUAGCUGGUCUGAGAGGAUGAUCAGCCACAUUGGGACUGAGACACGGCCCAAACUCCUACGGGAGGCAGCAGUGGGGAAUAUUGGACAAUGGGCGCAAGCCUGAUCC
rnacentral:rRNA from 1 species